CCGUGGUUUCAAGUCUCUGGAGUCCCAUUUUUUUCUCUUCCAUGGAGUUUGUUUGCUGCAGUUUGAGGAGCCGAGGCAUAUGAUAAAUACCAGGUGUCCUUAGAAGAAGAGGAGAUUGGGCCCCAGACACACAUGCACAGAAGAAAGACCAUGUGAAGACAGAGGGAGAAGUCAGAGAUCUACAAACCAAGGAAACAUCCUCAGAAUGAAACCAACCUUGCCAAUCCCUGAUCCUAGACCUCCAGCCUCCACAACGGCCUUUGGACUCAGAUGGAAUUAUACCACGGGGUUUCCUGGAUCUCCAGCAUGCAGAUGGUAGAUUGUGGAACUUCUCAGCCUCCAAAAUCGAGUGAGCCAAUUCCCAUCAUAAAUCCCCUCUCCUAUGUCUAUAUAUGUCCUAUUGCUUCUCCUUCUCUGGAGAAUGCUGACUAAUACAGACAUAAUACAGCA
rnacentral:lncRNA from 10 species